CAACAUCCCAGCUCACUGGAAACAAACCGACAUACCUACCAAAAAAGAAUGGAUCCACAGGGUGGAAGAGAUCCAAGGAGCAGAAGCAGCAUACGCCACUCUAACAGGUCGGGAAACCAGGCACGCAGAGACGUGGACGCCGUGGUUCCUGUACAUCUCUCGCUACCGCAGUGAUGGAGGUGCACCGGGGCCCGCAGUGGGGGCACGGCCUGACGCGAGCUAGGCCAGAGG